GUAGGUGGCAAGCGUUGUCCGGAAUUAUUGGGCGUAAAGCGCGCGCAGGCGGUUCCUUAAGUCUGAUGUGAAAGCCCCCGGCUCAACCGGGGAGGGUCAUUGGAAACUGGGGAACUUGAGUGCAGAAGAGGAGAGCGGAAUUCCACGUGUAGCGGUGAAAUGCGUAGAGAUGUGGAGGAACACCAGUGGCGAAGGCGGCUCUCUGGUCUGUAACUGACGCUGAGGCGCGAAAGCGUGGGGAGCGAACAGGAUUAGAUACCCUGGUAGUCCACGCCGUAAACGAUGAGUGCUAAGUGUUAGAGGGUUUCCGCCCUUUAGUGCUGCAGCAAACGCAUUAAGCACUCCGCCCUGGGAGUACGGCCGCAAGGCUG
rnacentral:rRNA from 1 species